AGGUAGUAGUACAAACAAAACCUAUUUAUACUGGCGGCUUUAUUAAUUUAGAGGAACUUGUUAUAUAAUCGACAACCCGCGAUACAUUUCACUUUAAUUAAAAAUUUAUAUACCGCCAUUAAAGAAUCUUUUUCCAAAUACAUUCAUAAUAAUAAAUAAAAAAUUAGGUCAAGGUGUAGUCAAUAUUAAAGAAUAAAUGAGUUACAUUAAAAACAAUUUAAGGAGAUUUUUCUAAAAAGAAAAAAUGAAAAAGAAUUUAACAAUAAUUAUAUAAUAUUAAUCAAAUAUAAUAUAAUACAAUAUAAUGAACUACAUAAUAAAGUGC
rnacentral:rRNA from 1 species